rnacentral:rRNA from 1 species
GGGAGGUUUUUUUUUUUUUUUUUUUUUUUUUUUUUUAGAAAGUUAUUUUUUUGUUUAUUAUUUAUUUUACUAUAAUUUUUUAAAAUUUUUUACUGUAGGGGUUCAUUUUUUUUUUUUUUUUAAGGUUAAUUUUUUUUUUUACCUUUUGUGUCAGGGUUAAUCAAUUUUUUUUAAUUAUUUAAUUUUCCCGAAAAUUUAAUAUUUAUGUUUAUUUGUAUUUUAUUGUUGAAUAAAUAUUUAUUAAAUACUCAUAGUUUUGAAAUGAAAUUCGCUUAAUUUGAUAUCUGGUUAACUAAUAUUUAAAUUUAAUUUUGGUUACUUUUUUUGAUUAUUUUUUUUCAUUUAGUUUCUUAUAUUAAGGGGGAUAAGCUCUUUAUUUAAAUAUAAUUUUUUAUUUUAUUUUUUUUGUAGGUCUAGAAUUAUUCUUCAUUUAAAUUUUGUUAAAAAUUGAAUUUUUUCUUUAUUUUUUUUUAUUUUUUUAUUAGUUUUUUUUAUUUAAUUUUUUUUUAUUUGAUAAUGAUUGAAUUAGUAAAUUUAAAAUUUUUUUUUAUGAAUUCGGCAAAUUUUGUUUUUCGCCUGUUUUUCAAAAACAUGUCCUUUAGCUUUUAUUUAAGGUUUAGCCUGCUCAAUGAAAAUUAAAUAGCCGCCGUAUAUUGACUGUGCAAAGGUAGCAUAAUAAUUAGUUUUUUAAUUGAGGUUUGGUAUGAAUGGUUGAACGAGAAAACUUUUUUAUUUGAUAAAAGUUUAUUUAAUUUGUAUUUUUGGUUAAAAUACCAAAAUUUUUAAAAGGGACGAUAAGACCCUAUAGAUCUUUAUAAUGUUUUAUUUUUUUAUUUUUUUUGUUGUAUUUUUUUUUUUAUUAAAAUCUUAUUUAAUUGGGGUGAUUAUUAAAAUUUUAAACUUUAUUUUUUUUUUACAUUUAUAUUUGGUUUUUUGAUCCUUAAAUUUAGAUUAUAAGAUAAAGAUACCUUAGGGAUAACAGCAUAAUAAUUCUGGAGAGUUCUUAUCGAUAGAUUUGUUUGUGACCUCGAUGUUGGAUUAAAAUUUAAUUGUGGGGUAGUUUUUACAAUUUUAGGUCUGUUCGACCUUUAAAAUUUUACAUGAUCUGAGUUCAGACCGGCGUAAGCCAGGUUGGUUUCUAUCUUUUUAUUUUUUAUUUUGAUUAGUACGAAAGGACUUUCAUAAUGUAAUAUUUAUU